ACGCCCAUACCACAUUGAAUAGACCGGUUCUUAUCCUAUCACCGAAGUUAAGCAGCGUCAGGCACGGUCAGUACUAUUUGGAUGGUAGAUCGCCUGGGAACACGACGUGAUGUUG